UACGUAGGGGGCAAGCGUUGUCCGGAAUCAUUGGGCGUAAAGAGCGUGUAGGCGGCCAAGCAGGUCCGCUGUGAAAACUCGAGGCUCAACCUCGAGAGGUCGGUGGAAACCGUUUGGCUAGAGUCCGGAAGAGGAGAGUGGAAUUCCCGGUGUAGCGGUGAAAUGCGCAGAUAUCGGGAAGAACACCCGUGGCUAAGGCGGCUCUCUAGUACGGUACUGACGCUGAGACGCGAAAGCGUGGGGAGCGAACAGG
rnacentral:rRNA from 1 species